rnacentral:rRNA from 1 species
UGGGGAAUCUUGGACAAUGGGCGCAAGCCUGAUCCAGCCAUGCCGCGUGAGUGACGAAGGCCUUAGGGUUGUAAAGCUCUUUUGGCGGGGACGAUAAUGACGGUACCCGCAGAAUAAGCCCCGGCUAACUUCGUGCCAGCAGCCGCGGUAAUACGAAGGGGGCUAGCGUUGUUCGGAAUUACUGGGCGUAAAGCGCACGUAGGCGGAUGUGCCAGUCAGGGGUGAAAUCCCGAGGCUCAACCUCGGAACUGCCUCCGAUACAGCACGUCUCGAGUCCGGAAGAGGUGAGUGGAAUUCCUAGUGUAGAGGUGAAAUUCGUAGAUAUUAGGAAGAACACCAGUGGCGAAGGCGGCUCACUGGUCCGGUACUGACGCUGAGGUGCGAAAGCGCGGGGAGCAAACAGGAUUAGAUACCCUAGUAGUCCCUGAGCGGGCUGGCAAGGCGCAU